rnacentral:rRNA from 1 species
AGGGAUCAUUACCGAGUUUACAACUCCCAAACCCCUGUGAACAUACCUUAAUGUUGCCUCGGCGGAUCAGCCCGCGCCCCGUAAAACGGGACGGCCCGCCAGAGGACCCAAACUCUAAUGUUUCUUAUUGUAACUUCUGAGUAAAACAAACAAAUAAAUCAAAACUUUCAACAACGGAUCUCUUGGUUCUGGCAUCGAUGAAGAACGCAGCAAAAUGCGAUAAGUAAUGUGAAUUGCAGAAUUCAGUGAAUCAUCGAAUCUUUGAACGCACAUUGCGCCCGCUGGUAUUCCGGCGGGCAUGCCUGUUCGAGCGUCAUUUCAACCCUCAAGCCCUCGGGUUUGGUGUUGGGGAUCGGCUCUGCCUUCUGGCGGUGCCGCCCCCGAAAUACAUUGGCGGUCUCGCUGCAGCCUCCAUUGCGUAGUAGCUAACACCUCGCAACUGGAACGCGGCGCGGCCAUGCCGUAAAACCCCAACUUCUGAAUGUUGACCUCGGAUCAGGUAGGAAUACCCGCUGAACUUAA